rnacentral:rRNA from 1 species
UACGGAGGGUGCAAGCGUUAUCCGGAUUCACUGGGGUUAAAGGGUGCGUAGGCGGGUUGGUAAGUCCGUGGUGAAAUCUCCGAGCUUAACUCGGAAACUGCCGUGGAUACUAUCAAUCUUGAAUAUCGUGGAGGUGAGCGGAAUAUGUCAUGUAGCGGUGAAAUGCUUAGAUAUGACAUAGAACACCAAUUGCGUAGGCAGCUUACUACACGAUCAUUGACGCUGAGGCACGAAAGCGUGGGGAGCAAACAGG